rnacentral:rRNA from 1 species
GCGGUGAAAUGCGUAGAUAUCUGGAGGAACACCGGUGGCGAAGGCGGCAUCCUGGACCGGUAUUGACGCUGAGGCGCGAAAGCCAGGGGAGCAAACGGGAUUAGAUACCCCGGUAGUCCUGGCCCUAAACGAUGAAUGCUUGGUGUGGCGGGUAUCGAUCCCUGCCGUGCCGAAGCUAACGCAUUAAGCAUUCCGCCUGGGGAGUACGGUCGCAAGGCUGAAACUCAAAUGAAUUGACGG